rnacentral:lncRNA from 1 species
GUCUAAAUAGAUAACUCAUCCUAAUCUAAUGACCAUUAUUUAAUAAUCUUGAGCCUUGCACUUAUUUAAUACUAAAUUACAGAAAGAAAAAAACGUGAGAGAGAGAGAAAGAAAGAAACAGAGGAGAUAGAGAGAGGAAAAAGACGUGAGAAAGAGAGAAAGAAAGAAACAGAGGAGAGAGGAAGAAAGUAGGAGAGAGAGAGAACAGAAGAGAGGGAAAGAGGGAGGCAGAAGAGAAAACGUAAAGAAGAAAGAAAAAAAAAAUUCCGACACGUUCCAGAUUUGUCUGCAAGAAUUUUCAAUCCUAAAUAGUUUAAGUAUACAAGAAAUUUAUCAAAUAGGUAUGAAUUUAUCUAAAUGCUCAAUGAUUUUGUGUUUUCACUUUUUAAUGUUUUAAGUUGAGUGUUUCAUGUGCUAUUAUGUGAUUCAAAAUAAAGAAAAAUAUUGUGGAAAGUACCAUAGAGUAUUAUUAUGUAAAUCUACAUGAAAACCAGUUAUAGGGCUAAAUUUCCUAAGUGGAGAUUGAGAAUGAUUUGACCUCAGUGAGAAUGAGACGGUCAGGUUUCUAUCCCACUAGAAAGUUAUGGUAUGUGCGUAUUUUACUUACUUUUUAUAUUAAACUGUGAAAAUACUGACAUGGAAUCCAUACUGAGUGUAUUCAUAUACUCAUUCCAUAUUCUAAAUUAUUUUUGCAGAUACUUGGUGGAUCGAAGUUGGAAGUUGAGACUGCUGACAGAGUCCGUGUUGCUGGAUCAAGAAUUUAAGAUUUUCCUUUUCAUAUUUAGUAUUUAGUUAGAAAAUAUUUUUUUAUUCAAAUCAGAAUUUAUUUUUAAAUCAAUGUUGAAUUUUAAAAAAAUAAGCACCGGAUUCAUAGUACAACAAUAAAAUACAUUAACUGAUAUUUUAUGAGACAAUAAAAUAACUUGUUUUUAUUCCGGAAUGUUUUCUUCAAAUUUUUUGUAACAUAAUGUGUCGACUAAUUUUUAUAAUAGUUAAAGUGAUAAAUUGAGUAACCUUCGGAACAUAGGUUUCGGGGCAUUACAACAUGGUAUUAGAGCCCAAUCAAUCUUUCCUGCAGACUUUGUAAAAUCAAAAUUUUAGAUUUCUUUAUAUGUUAAAAUUAAAUAAAUUUUGAUCCACACGACAUCGGGACCGGCAUGAUCAACUUCAAUGGAUGGUCUAAGGUAUGAAUUUUUAUUUUUUAUUUUUUAAUUUUGUAUUUUAGAAUUUAUGUAGAAGAAUGAAGCAAAGAUUUUUAUGUUAUAAAAUAUUUCAUCUUAAUUAGACCAAAAAAAAAAAAAAAACCCCAGUGGAAUCAACAGAGUCGUGGGGAGUAUUGCAUUAGCAUUUACCUGUUACUUUUUCUCGUUAAAGGACCUUACUGCAAAC